rnacentral:lncRNA from 1 species
UCGGUUUUAACUUUUCUUUUAUAGGCUUAUAGCCUUGCCGGUACAGACAUAAGAUUCUUCCAAGCUUCUGGGUAGAUCGACCCUAGAUUGAAGAGGUCGGACUAUCUGUUUUGGAUUUGACCAUACUGCGGUUCGAUUCUUUCGUGUUCUAAUGAGUCAGGGCUUUCUAGUGUCCCAUUCGGUCGUUCAGAAUGGUUUAUUU